rnacentral:rRNA from 1 species
GAUGAACGCUGGCGGCGUGCCUAAUACAUGCAAGUCGAGCGAACAGAUGAGGAGCUUGCUCCUCUGACGUUAGCGGCGGACGGGUGAGUAACACGUGGAUAAUCUACCUAUAAGACUGGGAUAACUUCGGGAAACCGGAGCUAAUACCGGAUAAUAUAUUGAACCGCAUGGUUCAAUAGUGAAAGACGGUUUUGCUGUCACUUAUAGAUGGAUCCGCGCCGCAUUAGCUAGUUGGUAAGGUAACGGCCUACCAAGGCAACGAUGCGUAGCCGACCUGAGAGGGUGAUCGGCCACACGGGAACUGAGACACGGUCCAGACUCCUACGGGAGGCAGCAGUAGGGAAUCUUCCGCAAUGGGCGAAAGCCUGACGGAGCAACGCCGCGUGAGUGAUGAAGGUCUUCGGAUCGUAAAACUCUGUUAUUAGGGAAGAACAAAUGUGUAAGUAACUAUGCACGUCUUGACGGUACCUAAUCAGAAAGCCACGGCUAACUACGUG